CCUCAACCACUCAAUUAAUUCAUUCUCAUCUUCCCACACCAUCCACUCUCUUCCCAACCAUUCAUUCAAAAUUCAAAUUUCCACUAACACUUUCUCUCUCUUCGUGGUUCCCACCAACAAUCAGAUAUUAUUUUCUUUUCUUUCUCUCCCUUCAUUCACUCCCUCAACCGCUCACUCUCUCUCACCCUUCUCACUCACGUUUCUUUACUCUUCUCCCACAACACGUUCUUCUUUUUCAGUUCAUUUCUCCUGCAACAACACCACCACCAUAGUGCCUUCCUGCAACAACACCACCACCACGUGCCAAAACCGCGAGCACCACCACCUCCAUGCCUUCUUCACGCAGCAACCACCACUGUCCCUAUUCUGUUUUUCCUCUCCAUGAGAACCACCACCAAAACCCUAGCCGCCACCUUCAAAGCCCGAUCUCCGGCGAACCAUUAAGUUUUUGGAGAAACCGACAUCACCACUGAACUCUCCUCAUCGUCCGAAACAAAACCCCUCCAUCGAUUCGAUGAUCGGCCUCCGCGACUCCGGCGACCGCCACCUCCGCUGCCAUUGGCGUCCUCUCCGGCGAGUUCCUUUCUGAGAAAGGAGGCCAAUUUCUUGAAGCUCUCAACCUCCUCUUCCCGAAUCCAAGGCCCAAUCAUCAGUAAUUGCUUCAAUGGCUACUGGAGGAAGGGGAGAGCACGACCAGACCAGACCAGAGGAAGAAGUGAAGCUCAGUCCCAUGACCAUGAGACUUGAGGUAGAAGGAGGAAGAAUUGAAAACUGUUUAGAAAUUAUAUGUUAAUAGAAAAAAAAUAUAUAUAAUAAUAAUAGUAGUAUUUUGGGCUUAUCCUUGUAUUAAUUAGUUAUGUUGGAAAAUGGUAUUGUUGGUGAAUAUUGGUAUUGUAAUUUUAAAAAUAAAACCAUAUGUUAACGUUGAAGUAAAUGUUUUGAAGGUUA